CACGUAGGGCGCAAGCGUUGUCCGGAAUUAUUGGGCGUAAAGAGCUCGUAGGCGGUUUGUUGCGUCGGCUGUGAAAUCCCGAGGCUCAACCUCGGGUCUGCAGUCGAUACGAGCAAACUAGAGUGUUGCAGGGGAGACUGGAAUUCCUGGUGUAGCGGUGAAAUGCGCAGAUAUCAGGAGGAACACCGGUGGCGAAGGCGGGUCUCUGGGCCGAUACUGACGCUGGAGGAG
rnacentral:rRNA from 1 species